rnacentral:rRNA from 1 species
UACGAAGGGGGCUAGCGUUGCUCAGAAUCACUGGGCGUAAAGGGCGCGUAGGCGGCGUUUUUAAGUCGGGGGUGAAAGCCUGUGGCUCAACCACAGAAUGGCCUUCGAUACUGGGACGCUUGAGUAUGGUAGAGGUUGGUGGAACUGCGAGUGUAGAGGUGAAAUUCGUAGAUAUUCGCAAGAACACCGGUGGCGAAGGCGGCCGAACUGGACCAUUACUGACGCUGAGGCGCGAAAGCGUGGGGAGCAACAGG